rfam:Callipepla squamata strain Texas jcf7180005232607, whole genome shotgun sequence.
CUCCACAUUGUCCUCAUUGUACAUGCUGUGUGUAUUUCUCGCGUACACAGCGCAUGCAAUGUGGACAUAAUGGAG